rnacentral:rRNA from 1 species
AGAACGAACGCUGGCGGCAUGCCUAAUACAUGCAAGUCGAACGAAGGCUUCGGCCUUAGUGGCGCACGGGUGCGUAACGCGUGGGAAUCUGCCCCUUGGUUCGGAAUAACAGUUGGAAACGACUGCUAAUACCGGAUGAUGACGAAAGUCCAAAGAUUUAUCGCCAAGGGAUGAGCCCGCGUAGGAUUAGCUAGUUGGUGAGGUAAAGGCUCACCAAGGCGACGAUCCUUAGCUGGUCUGAGAGGAUGAUCAGCCACACUGGGACUGAGACACGGCCCAGACUCCUACGGGAGGCAGCAGUAGGGAAUAUUGGACAAUGGGCGAAAGCCUGAUCCAGCAAUGCCGCGUGAGUGAUGAAGGUCCUUAGGGUUGUAAAGCUCGUUUUACCCGA